AGUGAACGCUGGCGGUGGGCCUAACACAUGCAAGUCGAACGGCAGCACAGUAAGAGCUUGCUCUUACGGGUGGCGAGUGGCGGACGGGUGAGGAAUACAUCGGAAUCUACUUUUUCGUGGGGGAUAACGUAGGGAAACUUACGCUAAUACCGCAUACGACCUACGGGUGAAAGCAGGGGAUCUUCGGACCUUGCGCGAUUGAAUGAGCCGAUGUCGGAUUAGCUAGUUGGCGGGGUAAAGGCCCACCAAGGCGACGAUCCGUAGCUGGUCUGAGAGGAUGAUCAGCCACACUGGAACUGAGACACGGUCCAGACUCCUACGGGAGGCAGCAGUGGGGAAUAUUGGGCAAUGGGCGCAAGCCUGAUCCAGCCAUACCGCGUGGGUGAAGAAGGCCUUCGGGUUGUAAAGCCCUUUUGUUGGGAAAGAAAAGCAGCAGGUUAAUACCCCGCUGUUCUGACGGUACCCAAAGAAUAAGCACCGGCUAACUUCGUG
rnacentral:rRNA from 1 species